rnacentral:rRNA from 1 species
AUUGAACGCUGGCGGCAGGCCUAACACAUGCAAGUCGAACGAGUGGCGGACGGGUGAGUAAUGUCUGGGCACCUGCCUGAUGGAGGGGGAUAACUACUGGAAACGGUAGCUAAUACCGCCUACCAUCGGCUGUGCCCAGAUGGGCUUCGCUAGUAGGUGGGGUAACGGCUAACAAAGGCGACGAUCCCUAGCUGGUCUGAGAGGAGGACCAGCCACACGGGAACUGAGACACGGGCCAGACUCCUAAGGGAGGCAGCAGUGGGGAAUAUUGCACAAUGGGCGAAAGCCUGAGGCAGCAAUGCCGCGGGUAUGAAGAAGGCCUUCGGGUUGUAAAGUACGUUCAGCGGGGAGGCGUUACCCGCAGAAGAAGCACCGGCUAACUCCGUGCCAGCCGCCGCGGUAAUAC